GAUACUUUUGAUGUCGUUGCUUUUACGAACAUAUACAUUUUGUUUAUGCACUUUGCAUAUACUUCAUAGAAAAACUUUGUGUGCGUGCACGCUUUAAGCACUGGAGACCCAAGGGAAGAUUUCAGCCCUUCUAAACAAAUGAGGAACGAGAGACCUGCCUUCCAUUUUCUUCCACACCUCCGGUUAAAUUUUAACCACAGAAGGACGGAACGUUCCAGCCUGCUGCUGAUUCAGACAGGCCAUAUCCUGUGCCCCUGCUGACCACUGAACGGCCUCACAGCUGGUCCAAAGGCAUUUUCCUAUGGUGGGUUAUGACAUUUCACAUGGAUUUCUCUUCCUGUGUUGCACACGUGCUCUGGAAGGAAGACUCAGCCAUGCAGACACAGCGCAGCAGCCUGCAGUCAAUGUGCUCACCCAUGCCCAGCAGCCAGGGAAAAUCCAAGGUGAGCCACUGCAGAUCAUCUGUUCUGCUGCAACCGCAGCAUUGAACAACGGUUACCAGCGGUUUACAAAAUCCCACAUUUAGUUAGAAUCUUUCACUUAGAAAGAUGCCAGGAGGU
rnacentral:lncRNA from 1 species